rnacentral:rRNA from 1 species
GUCUACGGCCAUGCCACCCUGAACAAGCCUAAUCCCAUCUGAUCUCGGAAGCUAAGCAGGGUCGGGCUGGUUAGUACUUGGAUGGGAUACCACCUAGGAAGACCAGGUGCUGUAGGUG